UAAAAAUUUAAUUUAAAAUAUUUAAGUAGUAUUAGUUAAGAUCUUUAAAUUUAAAAAAUUUGGCGGUAUUUUAGUCUAUUCAGAGGAACCUGUUUUGUAAUCGAUAGUCCACGAUGAAUCUUACUUAAAUUUGUUUUAGUUUAUAUAUCGUCGUUAAAAGAAUAUUUUAUAAGAAUAAUAAUUUUCUUAAUUUUUAAUUUAAAAUAUAUCAGAUCAAGAUGUAGCUUAUGUUUAAGUUUAUAAUGGGUUACAGUUAUUAUAUUAUUGGAAAUUAAUAUGAAAUUUAUUAUUUGAAAUUGGAUUUGAUAGUAAAUUUAUAUAGAUUGAUAAAUUGAUUAUAGCUCUAAAAUAUG
rnacentral:rRNA from 1 species